rnacentral:tRNA from 1 species
GGAGAGGUGGCCGAGUGGCUUAAGGCGCACGCCUGGAAAGCGUGUUUCCCGCAAGGGAUCCAGGGUUCGAAUCCCUGUCUCUCCG